rfam:Aedes albopictus isolate Foshan contig132512, whole genome shotgun sequence.
UUCUUCCUUGUCUUGGGGAGCAUAAUAUCCAAUGAAGUUCAACUGAGGGUAUUGAUGCUGGCACCCAUUUACCGAGCUUUAUUGCUUGUUGAACCCCCGCUCGGGGUAGCCACUUUCGAACAGUGCGCUACCUGGGCGGAAUUUUUGGCACG